GUGGAUUAGAUACCCGGGUAGUCCACGCCGUAAACGAUGAAGACUAGCUGUCCGGGCACAUGGUGCUUGGGUGGCGCAGCUAACGCAUUAAGUCUUCCGCCUGGGGAGUACGGCCGCAAGGUUAAAACUCAAAGAAAUUGACGGGGGCCUGCACAAGCGGUGGAGCAUGUGGUUUAAUUCGAAGCAACGCGCAGAACCUUACCAGCGUUUGACAUGUCCGGACGAUUUCCAGAGAUGGAUCUCUUCCCUUCGGGGACUGGAACACAGGUGCUGCACGGUCGUCGACAACU
rnacentral:rRNA from 1 species